CCCUUAGAUGUUCUGGGCCGCACGCGCGCCACACUGACGAAUGCAACGAGCUUAUAACCUUGGCCGAAAGGUCUGGGUAAUCUCCAAAUUUCGUCGUGAUGGGGAUAGAUUAUUGCAAUUAUUAAUCUUCAACGAGGAAUGCCUAGUAAGCGCAAGUCAUCAGCUUGCGUUGAUUACGUCCCUGCCCUUUGUACACACCGCCCGUCGCUCCUACCGAUUGAAUGGUCCGGUGAAGCGCUCGGACCGCGGCCUCUUGACGGGUCUCCGUCGAUUGGCUGUGGGAAGUUCGUUAAACCUUAACAUUUAGAGGAAGGAGAAGUCGUAACA
rnacentral:rRNA from 1 species